rnacentral:rRNA from 1 species
GACGAACGCUGGCGGCGUGCUUAACACAUGCAAGUCGAACGGUAAGGCCCUUCGGGGUACACGAGUGGCGAACGGGUGAGUAACACGUGGGUGAUCUGCCCUGCACUUCGGGAUAAGCCUGGGAAACUGGGUCUAAUACCCGAUCGGACCACUGCCUGCAUGGGUGGUGGUGGCAAGCUUUUGCGGUGUGGUCUGGGCCCGCGGCCUAUCAGCUUGUUGGUGGGGUGAUGGCCUACCAAGGCGACGACGGGUAGCCGGCCUGAGAGGGUGACCGGCCACACUGGGACUGAGAUACGGCCCAGACUCCUACGGGAGGCAGCAGUGGGGAAUAUUGCACAAUGGGCGCAAGCCUGAUGCAGCGACGCCGCGUGAGGGAUGACGGCCUUCGGGUUGUAAACCUCUUUCAGCACCGACGAAGCGCAAGUGACGGUAGGUGCAGAAGAAGGACCGGCCAACUACGUGCCAGCAGCCGCCGUAA